CAGCCAGCACAAGUGCGCAAUCUCCCCUAAACAAGCAUGGGAGGGGCGCCUGCGCAUGCGCAGCCCCACACAGGAAGUUUCUUACAGCGCCUGCGCCUCCUCCUCUCCCCUCCGCCAUAAUGGCGCCUUGCCUCUCCUGCAGGUCUGGACGUUCUCCCGGGUUCCCUCUGCCCUGGUGUUCCCCUCCUUAGCCUGUGGUGGUCCCCUCCUUAGUCCCUGGUGCACUGCUCCUCAGCCCCUCAUGCCACCCCGGUCCUCUCCCUGGACUGACCUCGGAGCCUGCGUCUCAGCGCCCCGCCCGCGCGUCUGAGGCUGCGGUGCCCCGGCCUGUGGUUCAGCUGGUCUGUGCGGCUCUCACUCGGCUUUGCUGUCCUCAGUCCAGUGGCUGCACGCUUUCUCGCGGACUUGGAGGUCCCACCGACUCAGCCCAUCUUUGCCCAGUGUAAUGCCCAGAGUGGAAGAUUCCUGAGCUGGCAGAGGCCUAGUGAAGUGCCCGUCACCUAGUUCAAAGGUGUUCAGACACCAGAGAUGCAAAACCUUCACCAGAGUCAAGGAGGUAGCUCUCCAUGUAACCUGCUCAGCCGUGACUAGGACAUCACCAUCUCGGAAUCAAGAAACAUCUUUAAGUGCAGAGGCUGCACACUGAUGAGUGGGGGCAGAAAGGCA